rnacentral:rRNA from 1 species
AAUGAACGCUGGCGGCAGGCCUCACACAUGCCAAUCGAGCGAGCGGCGGCCGGGUGCGUAAUGUCUGGGGAAUGCCCGAUGGAGGGGGAUAACUACUGGAAACAGUAGCUAAUACAGCAUACUGUCGGAUAACCCAUAUGGGAUUAGCUAGUAGGUGGGGUAAUGGCUCACCUAGGCGACGAUCCCUAGCUGGUCUGAGAGGAUGAUCAGCCACACUGGGACUGAGACACGGCCCAGACUCCUACGGAGGCAGCAGUGGGGAAUAUUGCACAAUGGGCGCAAGCCUGAUGCAGCCAUGCCGCGUGUAUGAAGAAGGCCCUAGGGUUGUAAAGUACUUUCAGUCGGGAGGCGUUACCGACAGAAGAAGCACCGGCUAACUCCGUGCCAGCAGCCGCGGUAAUAC